rnacentral:rRNA from 1 species
AUUGAACGCUGGCGGCAGGCCUAACACAUGCAAGUCGAACGGUAACAGGAAACAGCUUGCUGUUUCGCUGACGAGUGGCGGACGGGUGAGUAAUGUCUGGGAAACUGCCUGAUGGAGGGGGAUAACUACUGGAAACGGUAGCUAAUACCGCAUAACGUCGCAAGACCAAAGAGGGGGACCUUCGGGCCUCUUGCCAUCGGAUGUGCCCAGAUGGGAUUAGCUAGUAGGUGGGGUAACGGCUCACCUAGGCGACGAUCCCUAGCUGGUCUGAGAGGAUGACCAGCCACACUGGAACUGAGACACGGUCCAGACUCCUACGGGAGGCAGCAGUGGGGAAUAUUGCACAAUGGGCGCAAGCCUGAUGCAGCCAUGCCGCGUGUAUGAAGAAGGCCUUCGGGUUGUAAAGUACUUUCAGCGGGGAGGAAGGGAGUAAAGUUAAUACCUUUGCUCAUUGACGUUACCCGCAGAAGAAGCACCGGCUAACUCCGUGCCAGCAGCCGCGGUAAUACGGAGGGUGCAAGCGUUAAUCGGAAUUACUGGGCGUAAAGCGCACGCAGGCGGUUUGUUAAGUCAGAUGUGAAAUCCCCGGGCUCAACCUGGGAACUGCAUCUGAUACUGGCAAGCUUGAGUCUCGUAGAGGGGGGUAGAAUUCCAGGUGUAGCGGUGAAAUGCGUAGAGAUCUGGAGGAAUACCGGUGGCGAAGGCGGCCCCCUGGACGAAGACUGACGCUCAGGUGCGAAAGCGUGGGGGAGCAAACAGGAUUAGAUACCCUGGUAGUCCACGCCGUAAACGAUGUCGACUUGGAGGUUGUGCCCUUGAGGCGUGGCUUCCGGAGCUAACGCGUUAAGUCGACCGCCUGGGGAGUACGGCCGCAAGGUUAAAACUCAAAUGAAUUGACGGGGGCCCGCACAAGCGGUGGAGCAUGUGGUUUAAUUCGAUGCAACGCGAAGAACCUUACCUGGUCUUGACAUCCACGGAAGUUUUCAGAGAUGAGAAUGUGCCUUCGGGAACCGUGAGACAGGUGCUGCAUGGCUGUCGUCAGCUCGUGUUGUGAAAUGUUGGGUUAAGUCCCGCAACGAGCGCAACCCUUAUCCUUUGUUGCCAGCGGUCCGGCCGGGAACUCAAAGGAGACUGCCAGUGAUAAACUGGAGGAAGGUGGGGAUGACGUCAAGUCAUCAUGGCCCUUACGACCAGGGCUACACACGUGCUACAAUGGCGCAUACAAAGAGAAGCGACCUCGCGAGAGCAAGCGGACCUCAUAAAGUGCGUCGUAGUCCGGAUUGGAGUCUGCAACUCGACUCCAUGAAGUCGGAAUCGCUAGUAAUCGUGGAUCAGAAUGCCACGGUGAAUACGUUCCCGGGCCU